UACGUAGGGGGCAAGCGUUGUCCGGAUUUAUUGGGCGUAAAGCGCUCGCAGGUGGUUCAUUGCGUCGUGCGUGAAAGACCCCGGCUCAACUGGGGAGGGUCGUGCGAAACGGGUGAACUAGAGGCCAGUAGGGGGACACGGAAUUCCGGGUGUAGCUGGUGGAAUGCGUAGAGAUCCGGAAGAACACCGGAGGCGAAGGCGGCUUGCUGGGCGUAGUCUGACGCUGAGGCGCGAAAGCGUGGGGAGCGAACAGG
rnacentral:rRNA from 1 species